AUUCCCAGAGAAAGCACCGAUGACUCAUCGGAGGAUAAAAUUAUGCAGAGCUCCCGGAGUCAGCAUCCCUUGCAUUGACAGAUGGAGUUUUUAAAAUAAAGAUGAAUCAGCUGUGUCAGACUUUCCUGGGAGUUAACUCCUGGUCCUUCCUCCACCAAGGCAAGCCUGGCUGGUGUUUACAUCGAAGUAGUCACGACAGGGCAGCCGCUGUGGUGCUGCGCCAGCAGCUGGAAGGACUGCUUCCCUCUGCGAUCUGAUGUGAAGCUUGGACUCAAAGCUGGAGAGACGGAGAGAUGGCUGAGCCCAGGCAGGCGUAGCACCAGGCCCAGGAGGAGAAGACCUCGGGCUGGAGGAGAGGUGGCAUUGCCAAGCGGGGUCCUUCCCCCCCUGCCAAUGUAGAGGCAGCAGGGGGCUUCAUCGCAGCUGCUGGGCUCUGCCCCAUGACCAACGCCAAGGACCCGAAGGGCGCGAUGGACCCCUCACCGGCGACCCCCAGCGCGGCAGCAGGCCCCGUUACCUUCUCCCAGGUGUUUGGACAGCAGUGCCAGCUCAUGGAAGCAGGUAAGAGAGCGAGACACGUGUGAUAUAACCUAAACUUCUU
rnacentral:lncRNA from 1 species